GCUAAUACCGCAUAGUUUCGGAAUCGCAUGAUUCUUGAGGAAAGGUGGCUUCGGCUACCACUAAUAGAUGGACCCGAGGCGUAUUAGCUAGUUGGUGAGGUAAUGGCUCACCAAGGCAAUGAUAAGUAGCCGACCUGAGAGGGUGAUCGGCCACACUGGGACUGGGACACGGCCCAGACUCCUACGGGAGGCAGCAGUAGGGAAUCUUCCGCAAUGGACGAAAGUCUGACGGAGCAACGCCGCGUGAGUGAAGAAGGUUUUCGGAUCGUAAAACUCUGUUGUUAAAGAAGAACAAGGAUGAGAGUAACUGCUCAUCCCCUGACGGUAUUUAACCAGAAAGCCACGGCUAACUACGUGCCAGCAGCCGCGGUAAUACGUAGGUGGCAAGCGUUGUCCGGAUUUAUUGGGCGUAAAGCGAGCGCAGGCGGUUCUUUAAGUCUGAUGUGAAAGCCCCCGGCUCAACCGGGGAGGGUCAUUGGAAACUGGAGAACUUGAGUGCAGAAGAGGAGAGUGGAAUUCCACGUGUAGCGGUGAAAUGCGUAGAUAUGUGGAGGAACACCAGUGGCGAAGGCGACUCUCUGGUCUGUAACUGACGCUGAGGCUCGAAAGCGUGGGGAGCAAACAGG
rnacentral:rRNA from 1 species